GCCAGGCACUGGGGUGUGACUAGAGAGGAAAGCUGAGCUGGAGCCAGGCCCACUGUGCCCCAAGCCCACCUCAUGACCGCCACCCACCCCAGAAUGGGUCAUAAAGCCAGAGUCGCUGAUGCAGGCACCCCCAGAAGGGAACCUGGUCUCCCCACCUUGAUCUGGGCCAGCAAGUUUUUGAGGGUUGUGUAGAGCUGGUCUGGAUCCUUCAGCUCCUUCCUGGGGGAUCUGCCUCACACCCUCCUUGAAGCAGCUGAGCCCGGGGUAGACCUUUCGGAUCUGGGCUUGUUUGCGCUCAAUCAGCUUCUUGAUGAUCUGAGGGAAGGCAGCAUCUUGAGGGGCCGACUCCAGUCCCAGCGGAAACCCUCCCAAGGGCCACAGUCAGAGGCCCUGCCGCUGAGUCCAGGCGCCUCGCCUCCUAACUUCCUUGGGAGGCAAAGCAAGAACCAAGAUCCCGGCCCACCCCAGGCCUGGCUCACACACGUACAUACCUGUGGUACACACCCACGCAUGCAUGCCCUCCCCCACGUGCACACGCAGCUGCCGCCGGGUCACAGUGAAGAUGGAGCGGAGAAGGCUUCGCCCAAAGAUGCUUCUCAAACGGGGGACUGCCCAGGGAGCCCUCCACCACUGGCCGGGUCAUCUGCAGGAUGCAUUUCCGCAGAAGCUGGAGGAAGAGGAAGAAGGAGGGGCAGAGGUCAGCAGAGCUCAGAGCUGCCGACUCCCUAGCCUUGUCUACCGUGCUCAUCCACACUCACUUGGACAAAGCUCACCUUGAAGAGACAAGCGAGUGAAGCCUGAGCCAUUACCCUAGAUUGGCUCCUCCUCACUUCAUUCUCUCUUGGAGGCUUCUGGGACAGUGGAGAUUGCUGUUUUCUUGGGGACUUGGAGAAGCAUCUGAGAAAACAGGCUUCAGUUGAGGGGAAUCGUAGAUUCUGCCCACGAGGGUGCAAGUGCAGCUCUGGGGCCUGGAGUUGUGAUGGCUUCCCGGCACAUCCCCUCCUGCCCCAACCCUGGCCCGCACUGCGGACACAGACUUGCCCCUAUGAUGGAGAUUAAAACGCAGCAGUUACCUUUCUGAA